rnacentral:lncRNA from 1 species
CUCAGGGCGUUAAGAGGACCUCUUCUCGAGGACCUUGCCAAUCACAUCUCGUGAGGCUUGGUACUAGUUCUCGGNAGCAUAUCCAAACAUAGGAUGUUGUAAGUUUUUAAAUUAAUUAUUUUUCUUUAAGAAAUGUAUUUUUUAAAUUUAUUUGAUUCAAAAAAAUUGUAUACGAAAUAUUUUUUUCGUGUACAAUUUUAACUCCGCCUACGCUGAUUGUAGCCGGUCCCAAGCCCGGAAAAAGGAGGAGGGUUGUAAUUUGUAACUUUUAUUUAUUUUGUUAUUCGUAUAAAUUACAUAAUUUUGAAAGUUGUACUUUUAUUUAAUUUGUAAUUUAUAUAAAUAAUAAAUGAUGCAAUUUUUAAAUUCUUUAAAAAAAAUGUCAUUCAACAAUUUGCACCACAACAAUUAGCAUGUGAAAAAAAUGUCAUUAAAAAUUGUAAAAAAAAUUAAAAAAUUAAAAAAUCGAGCCGGCUCGGCUCGUAAAAAGCCCGAGCUUUUGCCUUAUUUUUUUGGUCAAGCUUUGGCUCGGCUCGGCUCGGGCCCAAAAAAAGCUCGUUAUGAUUUACUCAAGCCGAGCCCGAGCCCAAAAUUUCGGCUCGCGAGCCGGCUCGGCUCGGCUACAUCCCUAUCACGCACCUGACGCGAACGCUCCAUUGGCUUAUCGCCUCGGACGCUGCGUUUCCUCCCAUGCUUUACAAAGUUUCAGCCAUGCGUCGACCUUUUUCCGUCAACGCAUCGGUGCGAGAUGAGUUCUUCCUCCAACUUUACAAAGUUUGGACGCACCUGACGCGAACGCCCCAUUGGGUCAUCGCCUCGGACGCUGCAUUUCCUCCCAUGCUUUACAAAGUUUCAGCUAUCCCCACGCGUCGACCUGUUCUGUCAGCGCAUCGACAGCAGAUGAGCUUUUUCUCCAACUUCACAAAGCUGGGACGCACCUGACGCGAAUGCCCCGCAUCUGCCUAUUAUCCUAACCUCGGCUGCUGCGACGAAUCGAUCCCCAAAAGGUCCCAUGACUCGCGGCCUGGUCAGGAAAACAAAUCCACGCAUAAUAUAAAUAUUCAUUCCCGGAUUUGGGGGACCACUAUUACGCCUCGAUUAUUCGCCCCUCGACACCGAAGUGCCAUCUCACCACGGAGGCCGAGAUCAAGUAGACCCUACGCAGCACCAUUUACUCCGACCUGAAAACGACCCUCCCGAAACUUCUCCGAAGUGGUAUAUCGAUUCCUACUACUGAUCUGCCAAAAUAUCUCACCUCUGAGGUCGAGAUCAAGUGGACCCCGGUUAGAAGAUCCGCUGCCAAUUUAAGAUUUGUCCUGCACCUAAGGUUUAAAUUGAUUUGACGUCUCCAUGAGGCUAUUUGAUGUGACUUAUCGACUUUAUGUCAAUUCAACUCGGGGGAAACAAACUGUCCGCCCACUCUACAAGCGCGGCUGAUUGACGCCUAUGAGCAGACGCUUCAUACCGUCAGAUGUACACACGAAUUCCACAUCCAGCGGUUCAUACCACCUAUAAAUACCCAAGGUUUGGCAAGAGGCAAAGGAGAAAAAAGAAAAAUGAAACUCUCAAUACAUAGCAUUCCAUAACAAGUUUAUAUAUUAUCCUCCCCCUUUAUUGAUUAAUUUGUGUAGCCCCUGGGCAUUGUUCCGACCACCCAAACCUAACUUGACCGUCGGUUCCGGCCGUGUGCACCUGACCGUUUGUUCAUUUCGCAGGGAGGAAUACGUGGAAUAACUAUAAGUUGGCCACGUGGAGGAGCCAUUUUUGGAGGUCAACACUUACCCCAAACGAGCUUUACUGUUUUGCAUUAAUCAAUUGGGUCUAAGGAGCAGAAAGAUGGAGAAAAGCUGUAUGAAAACUAGAGAAAAAACCGAAGAGGAAAUCAAAGAAGAAAAAUGGUGGUGAAAAGAAAGAGGAACCCUGUUGAUGUUACCAAAAAUUCGCACAUGUUGAUUUUUCGAGUUCAAGGACUGUGAAUGAGUACGAUCGUAAGCUUUCGGUAUCAAAAACAAAGGUAACUAAGUGUGUCCUCGUCGUCCCUCCGAUAUUUAAGUUAAAGAGGGAAUUUAUGUGAAAAUGUAUACUGAAAUUGUAUGUAAAGUUAUACCUGAAUAAUAAUCCAAACAUUUGCAUUUAUAAAGAUAUAUAGUGCACUCCUAGUAGGAUUAAGCAGUGCACUCCCUGUAAGACUAAAUCAGUUGAAUAUCCUUAUCUCAAAAAGUCCUACCUAAAAUGGAUACUUUAUUCAUACUACAAUUACAAGACCACUCAUAAUUUAGUUAGUAUAGUUGGGAUAGAAUCCUCCUAGAUGUAGGACUCUUAGUUUGAGGUAUUUAAAUCAUAUUAGAGUCCUUAAUGAGUAGGACUUCUUUUGGACGUAAGCGGGAAAAUGCCUCAAACUAAGUGAAGGAAAGUAAUCAAACAUUUGCAUGCUCAGGGCGUUAAGAGGACCUCUUCUCGAGGACCUUGCCAAUCACAUCUCGUGAGGCUUGGUACUAGUUCUCGGGGAUUUCAUCUUGAUAACCCCCUUAACCCGAGGACUCUAUGACCAACGUGAUGAGCAGUCACGUUGAGUCUCCGUGAAGAAUACCUCAAGGAUAUGCAAAAAGUGACCACAUCACCGGUAAAGAAAGAUUGAUAAAUUGGUGGUCUCUUCCCGGACGAUGCAAUUGGAGGUCUCGCCACAAGAAGGAACUCAUCUCUCUGAUUUGAAUUAAAAAAAUACAGCUCUCGUCCUCAACGAAGCAAUUGUAAAUCAACAAAAAUCCAUAGCCCAAACUUGGAAUAAAAGCCACCAACAACCCACAAUUGAGGGGAUCGAGCAAUGUAGGAAAAUCGGACCAAUAUAUUGUAGAUUUUUUCUUCGAGGAAGUGGACUGUGCACAAAUGGGUCACCUUAAUUUGUGGUCUAGUCACCUGCUAUCAAUGGAAGGUUCCAUGGGAUGAAAUGUUGGCGAAGUGUGUGUGGGAAGAAUUUGGAAUUUCAGCCGUGUGGCAGCCGUGAAUGCUGGUCAUGAAGUGUUGUGG